ACUGCAAGCCGCGUCAUCGUGUCCGCAAUGCGGGCAAGGAAAGUCCGGACAGCACAGAGCAACGCACCACCUAACGGGUGGGUGUUCAUCUUAGGAUGAACAACAGACAGUGCCACAGAAAAUAACCGCUCCGGUUAAACGGGGCAAGGGUGAAAACGCGGUGUAAGAGACCGCGAACUUUUUUGGCAACAAAACAGUUGGGUAAACCUUGCGUGCUGAAAUGCCAAAUAUGUUCCGCUUUACCGGCUGCUCGCCGGUGCUCCGCAAAACGGACGGCGGAACGGGUAGGCAGAUAGAGGCCGGCAGAAAUGCCGGUCCCAGAUAAAUGAUGGCGCUUCAACAGCGAUUGUUGAAGAACAAAAUCCGGCUUACAGGCUUGCAGUUUUU
rnacentral:RNase_P_RNA from 1 species